UACGUAGGGGGCUAGCGUUGUCCGGAAUCAUUUGGGCGUAAAGCGCGUGUAGGCGGUCCGGUAAGUCCGCUGUGAAAGUCGAGGGCUCAACCCUCGAAUGCCGGUGGAUACUGUCGGGCUAGAGUGCGGAAGAGGCGAGUGGAAUUCCUGGUGUAGCGGUGAAAUGCGCAGAUAUCAGGAGGAACACCUAUUGCGAAGGCAGCUCGCUGGGACGUUACUGACGCUGAGACGCGAAAGCGUGGGGAGCAAACAGG
rnacentral:rRNA from 1 species